rnacentral:lncRNA from 1 species
UUUGAUUCUUAAUUACAGAGUGGUCCAAUCAAGAUAAUUGCAACCUACUCCCUCCGUUCCUAAAUACUUGUCUUUCUAGGCAUUUCAACAAGUGACUACAUACGGAGCAAAAUGAGUGAAUCUACACUCUAAAAUAUGUCUACAUACAUCCGUAUGUAGUAGUCAUUUGAAAUGUCUAGAAAGACAAAUAGGAACGGAGGGAGUAAAAUACAUCCGCUCGUUUGGUUCACCAUAGGUGCUGAGCAUAUCUGCAUUGGAGAUGGCAUCGUUGAAGAUAACCAUAUGACCUAUAGGAUGCGAGUGUUCCAUUCUUGUGCUGCUCUUUGGUGCCGUUCCCAGAACUACAGCAACUUAAUUCCUCCUCUGUAAAGUUUUUCUGUGAAUCUUGUAUCUCCAGGCUUCUAGUGAGAUUGUAUCAUAGCACAGGUGUAAUGAUCUGCUAGCUACCAGGCUUGUAUAUCUAGAGAUUUGGAUUUCUCAAUAAAGCUUCUAAAUGGGAUAAAAGAAAUUAUUUCUUCCCCCUCCACGUACAAAA